GCUGGGCACAAUGGUGCACACCUGUAGUCCUAGCUCAAGCAGGAGGAUGGCAGUGCACUAUGCCAACCAGGUGUCCACACUAUGUUCAGCAUUAAUAUGGUGACCUCCCAGGAGCAGGGGACCACCAGGUUGCUUAAAGAGGGGUGAACCGACCCAGGUCAGAAAUGGAGCAGGUCAAAACUCCUGUGCUGAUCAGUAGUGGGAUUCUGCCAAUGAAUAGCCACUACACUCCAGCCUGGGCAACAU
rnacentral:SRP_RNA from 1 species